GAUGAACGCUGGCGGCGUGCCUAACACAUGCAAGUCGAACGAACCUGAUCUUCGGAAAAGGUUAGUGGCGCACGGGUGAGUAACACGUAGGUGACCUGCCCUGGAGUGGGGGAUAACUUCUCGAAAGAGAGGCUAAUACCGCAUACGCUCGGCCAUUCAGUUGGUCGAGUAAAGCUCCGGCGCUCCAGGAGGGGCCUGCGUCCGAUUAGCUAGUUGGUGAGGUAAUGGCUCACCAAGGCGAUGAUCGGUAGCUGGUCUGAGAGGACGAUCAGCCACACUGGCACUGACACACGGGCCAGACUCCUACGGGAGGCAGCAGUGAGGGAUAUUGGUCAAUGGGCGAAAGCCUGAACCAGCAACGCCGCGUGAGGGAUGAAGGCCUUCGGGUCGUAAACCUCUUUUCUGGGAGAAGAGACAAGGACGGUAUCCCAGGAAUAAGUCUCGGCUAACUACGUGCCAGCAGCCGCAGUAACAC
rnacentral:rRNA from 1 species